GAUUUCUGGCUCGUUGCCCGAGCCCGCUGACUUCGGUUGGUGAGUGCUUGUGCAAUCUGCCAUCCUUCUAGAUAGCCGCGAGUACCAUUAAUUUGGCCGCUCGCUGUGCGAUCUAGAUCAUUUACUUUGAAAAAAUUAGAGUGUUUAAAGCAGGCUUACGCCUUGAAUACAUUAGCAUGGAAUAAUAAUUUAGGACUUUGGUCUUAUUUUGUUGGUUUCUAGGACUAAAGUAAUGAUUGAUAGGGACAGUUGGGGGUGCUAGUAUUCAGCGGCCAGAGGUGAAAUUCUUGGAUUCGCUGAAGACUAACUUAUGCGAAAGCAUU
rnacentral:rRNA from 1 species